UACAGAGGGUGCAAGCGUUAAUCGGAAUACUGGGCGUAAAGCGUGCGCAGACGGUUGCGUAAGUCAGAUGUGAAAGCCCCGGGCUCAACCUGGGAAUUGCAUUUGAGACUGCGUAGCUAGGGUGCGGAAGAGGGAAGCGGAAUUUCCGGUGUAGCGGUGAAAUGCGUAGAUAUCGGAAGGAACACCAGUGGCGAAAGCGGCUUCCUGGUCCAGCACCGACGUCAGGCACGAAAGCGUGGGGAGCAAACAGG
rnacentral:rRNA from 1 species